UCACCACCAGAGCUCUCUAGCUAGCUAAGCACAAGAAGCAUAAGCAACACAGGGAUUAAUUCAUCUCACUCAGUAAUUAAGCUAAUUAAAAUCUUGGACCAUGUCGGACAAGUGCGGCAACUGCGACUGCGCUGACAAGAGCCAGUGCGUGAAGAAAGGUACCAGCUAUGGCGUCGUCAUAGUUGAAGCCGAGAAGAG